UACGUAGGGGGCGAGCGUUGUCCGGAGUUACUGGGCGUAAAGGGCAUGCAGGCGGUCGGACGCGUUUCGGGUGACAGCGGGUGGCUUAACUACCCGAGUGGUCGAAAGACGGUUUGACUUGAGGAACGCGAGAGGGACACGGAAUUCCGGGUGGAGUGGUGGAAAUGACGUAGAGAUCCGGAGGAACACCGAAGGCGAAGGCAGUGUCCUGGCGCGUAACUGACGCUGAGGUGCGAAGC
rnacentral:rRNA from 1 species